rnacentral:rRNA from 1 species
UACGAAGGGGGCUAGCGUUGCUCGGAAUUACUGGGCGUAAAGCGCGCGUAGGCGGUGAUCUUUGUCAGAGGUGAAAUCCCGAGGCUCAACUUCGGAAUUGCCUUUGAAACGGGAUCGCUUGAGUCCGAGAGAGGAUGGCGGAAUUCCUAGUGUAGAGGUGAAAUUCGUAGAUAUUGGGUGGAACACCGGUGGCGAAAGCGGCCCC